ACCAAGGCAACGAUCAGUAGCCGGUCUGAGAGGAUGAACGGCCACAUUGGAACUGAGACACGGUCCAAACUCCUACGGGAGGCAGCAGUGGGGGAUAUUGCACAAUGGGGGAAACCCUGAUGCAGCGACGCCGCGUGAGUGAAGAAGUAUUUCGGUAUGUAAAGCUCUAUCAGCAGGGAAGAAAUUGACGGUACCUGACCAAGAAGCCCCGGCUAACUAC
rnacentral:rRNA from 1 species